UACGUAGGGUGCGAGCGUUAAUCGGAAUUACUGGGCGUAAAGCGUGCGCAGGCGGUUCGUUGUGUCGGCGGUGAAAGCCCCGGGCUUAACCUGGGAAUGGCCGUUGAAACUGGCGAACUGGAGUGUGGCAGAGGGGGAUGGAAUUCCGCGUGUAGCAGUGAAAUGCGUAGAUAUGCGGAGGAACACCGAUGGCGAAGGGCAAUCCCCUGGGCCUGCACAUGACGCUCAUGCACGAAGCG
rnacentral:rRNA from 1 species